AUUUUGUGGGCUGAAAUGGUGCCUGAUUCUAGCAUAAAAUUGUGUGAUCUAAAAUGUUGGUCUCACUGAAUUUGAGAAUAAAAUGGCGCUUACCAGAGACUGGAGAAAUGAGUGAGGAGGGACUGGGAACAAUGCUAAUUAGGAGAAGCGAAAUGACUUCUGAUUUGAAUUUUGUGGGAGAAAGUGAAAAGUAUCACAGUCCAAGAGAGAAGUGAAUGCCCGCUAGAAGAUUCUGUCUAAGAUGGAGAGUCCAGAGAUACAAUACAUUGAGCAGACGUGUUAAGUUGGAUCUGAAUUAUUUCAUAAUGCCUGGAAUGGUGAAGGCAUUGAACAAUGGCUACCUGGGGAGCUUUCUGGUAUAAAUAUUUGGUAUUAUAAAUACUGAGAAUUUAAUUUUUCAUUCACCAUGAUAAAUCUUCUUUUGAAAAAAUGCAUCUGCGGAUACAGAAGUGCAAAAUUUAUGUAUAGUUAAGGAACAAUUCAGAACACA
rnacentral:lncRNA from 1 species